rnacentral:rRNA from 1 species
UACCAGCACCCCGAGUGGUCGGGACGAUUAUUGGGCCUAAAGCAUCCGUAGCCGGUUCUACAAGUCUUCCGUUAAAUCCACCUGCUCAACAGUUGGGCUGCGGAGGAUACUAUAGAGCUAGGAGGCGGGAGAGGCAAGCGGUACUUAGUGGGUAGGGGUAAAAUCCGUUGAUCCAUUGAAGACCACCAGUGGCGAAGGCGGCUUGCCAGAACGCACUCGACGGUGAGGGAUGAAAGCUAGGGGAGCGAAUGGG